rnacentral:snoRNA from 1 species
GAGCCAUGCAGUUAAUCUUAUCUGAAUGUGUUCUGCAGAAAUUUAGAAACAGAUUACAGUAACAGUGAUGCCAUUUUAUGAGUCUUAAGAACAACUGAGGUCAUUAUUGCCCCUCAAUGGCUAUAAUA